rnacentral:rRNA from 1 species
ACGGAAGGCAGCAGUGAGGAAUAUUGGUCAAUGGGCGGAAGCCUGAACCAGCCAAGUCGCGUGAGGGAAGACGGUCCUAUGGAUUGUAAACCUCUUUAGCCGGGGAGCAAUAAGCGCCACGUGUGGUGUGAUGAGAGUACCCGGAGAAUAAGGAUCGGCUAACUCCGUGCCAGCAGCCGCGGUAAUACGGAGGAUCCGAGCGUUAUCCGGAUUUAUUGGGUUUAAAGGGUGCGCAGGCGGCCCUGUAAGUCAGCGGUUAAAUCGUGGAGCUCAACUCCAUCCCGCCGUUGAUACUGCAGGGCUUGAUUGCGGUCGAGGUUGGCGGAAUUCGCCGUGUAGCGGUGAAAUGCAUAGAUAUGGCGAAGAACUCCGAUUGCGUAGGCAGCUGACCAGGCCGUAAAUGACGCUCAUGCACGAAAGUGCGGGGAUCGAACAGGAUUAGAUACCCUGGUA